AAAAAGCAAUGGCAUAUUCAUUACGUCCCUUGUCUAGUUAGUUAGUGCUUAAUUUGUCUUUCAUGGUCGUACUGUAUAGUUUCUAUCUCUACAUAAAUAUAUAAGCUGCACGGAUAGCUGCUGCGAACCAAAUUAAAGAAUAGAGAGAGGCUCAACCAUUUUAGGAGACGUUAUCAGCAUGAGUUGCUCUGUGGAAUCGACGAGGGACGGACAAUACGAAAUGGAGAAUUCUCUUCAACCUUUGCAUAUUUUAUUUAUUUAUUGUUGAGUAGUUUUAUACAUAAAUUUUUGUAGUGUCUAAUUUUGUUUCCUAUUUUGAUUAGGACUUGUUAAAAAGAAAAUUAGGCAUCUCGUCGUUCCUUGUAUGUGCUAUUUGGAGCACAUACAAUUGUACGAUAUACGAAGAGAUAUUCAAAAAAGCCAACCAACGAAACGUUUUUCCCCGUCCGCUCGGAUAGCAUAGAGAAUAAAAAUUUCCUUUGUUGGUACACCAAUGAUUUUUGUGGUGUUAACGGUUUUAAUAUCGACUGAGCGAGGAAUUGUUGCAUCAAGAGGGAUAGCAAAAUUUUAUUCCUUCGCUAUAGUAAUCUCAAGAAUUCAAAGUUGUUCCACACGAUGAAAAAUGGACACCGGGUUAACAAGGUUAUUCAGUCUCUAUCAGCGGUCAUGAAGUGAGCUGCAAUUGAUAUCAAGACAAUUUCUUUUAAGAUACAAAGAACAUGUCCAUAUUUCAACUUUGAUCAAUUAAUAUUUCGUCGACCCUGAUAGACGAAAUUGGAGAUUUGUCGGUGUUUUGUGAGCACCGUGUAUAUUACAUUUUUGAAUGUUUUCUUCCUUGUUUUCACCAUUGAUUUUUGUGGUUAAUAGUUUGGCUUAAUUUCUGGAGAAGAUAUAUGCAUCGUAUAAAAUGCUGCGGUGAGCAAUAAGGAGAGCUGCAUAUUUUGCGCCCUUAUAUGUUCCCGCUAGUUUUACAGCGUGCAUUAUAUGUGCCAAUUAUAUGUAUCGACGAGAUUUAAAGAGCUAGUGCUUAAUUUGCACUUUGUAUA